rnacentral:rRNA from 1 species
UACGUAGGGGGCAAGCGUUGUCCGGAUUUAUUGGGCGUAAAGAGCGUGUAGGCGGUCAGGUAGGUCCGUUGUGAAAACUCGAGGCUCAACCUCGAGACGCCGAUGGAAACCAUCUGACUAGAGUCCGGAAGAGGAGAGUGGAAUUCCUGGUGUAGCGGUGAAAUGCGCAGAUAUCGGGAGGAACACCAAUGGCGAAGGCAGCUCGCUGGGACGUUACUGACGCUGAGACGCGAAAGCGUGGGGAGCAAACAGG